AACGAACGCUGGCGGCAUGCCUAGCACAUGCAAGUCGAACGAGACCUUCGGGUCUAGUGGCGCACGGGUGCGUAACGCGUGGGAACCUGCCCUUAGGUUCGGAAUAACUCCCCGAAAGGGGUGCUAAUACCGGAUAAUGUCUUCGGACCAAAGAUUUAUCGCCUUUGGAUGGGCCCGCGUUGGAUUAGCUAGUUGGUAGGGUAAAAGCCUACCAAGGCGACGAUCCAUAGCUGGUCUGAGAGGAUGAUCAGCCACACUGGGACUGAGACACGGCCCAGACUCCUACGGGAGGCAGCAGUGGGGAAUAUUGGACAAUGGGCGAAAGCCUGAUCCAGCAAUGCCGCGUGAGUGAUGAAGGCCUUAGGGUUGUAAAGCUCUUUUACCCGGGAUGAUAAUGACAGUACCGGGAGAAUAGGCUCCGGCUAACUCCGUG
rnacentral:rRNA from 1 species